rnacentral:rRNA from 1 species
UACAGAGGUCUCAAGCGUUGUUCGGAUUCAUUGGGCGUAAAGGGUGUGUAGGUGGCGCGCUAAGUCGGGUGUGAAAUUUCGGAGCUUAACUCCGAAACUGCAUUCGAUACUGGCGUGCUUGAGGACUGGAGAGGAGACUGGAAUUCAUGGUGUAGCAGUGAAAUGCGUAGAGAUCAUGAGGAAGACCAGUGGCGAAGGCGGGUCUCUGGACAGUUCCUGACACUGAGGAGCGAAAGCGUGGGGAGCGAUCCGG